CCUACGGGAGGCAGCAGUGAGGAAUAUUGGUCAAUGGACGAGAGUCUGAACCAGCCAAGUAGCGUGAAGGAUGACUGCCCUAUGGGUUGUAAACUUCUUUUAUAUGGGAAUAAAAUGUUCCACGUGUGGGAUUUUGUAUGUACCAUAUGAAUAAGGAUCGGCUAACUCCGUGCCAGCAGCCGCGGUAAUACGGAGGAUCCGAGCGUUAUCCGGAUUUAUUGGGUUUAAAGGGAGCGUAGGUGGAUUGUUAAGUCAGUUGUGAAAGUUUGCGGCUCAACCGUAAAAUUGCAGUUGAAACUGGCAGUAAUGAGUACAGUAGAGGUGGGCGGAAUUCGUGGUGUAGCGGUGAAAUGCUUAGAGAUCAUACAGAACACCGAUUGCGAAGGCAGCUUACCAAGCUACUUCUGACGUUGAGGCACGAAAGUGUGGGUAUCAAACAGGAUUAGAUACCCUUGUAGUC
rnacentral:rRNA from 1 species